rnacentral:lncRNA from 1 species
UUAACUCUCUGUAUAUAACCCUCUCACCUAGAAGUUACCCUCACAAAAGCUCUCUCAAAAUCUCCCAAGGAGUCUCUCUCACAGAUCUGUCAGUACCAGGGUCCUCAACACCCAUAGACACUUCUUGUGGAGCAAACCGUUAUAUCGUGCCUCUCCGUAGCUGCUCUGCUUAAUGCUCUGCUCUACCUCUGAUCCCCUGUCGGUGCUUUGCAGUGUUUACUCUGCCCGC